rnacentral:rRNA from 1 species
UACGUAGGUGGCAAGCGUUGUCCGGAUUUACUGGGCGUAAAGAGCGCGCAGGCGGUCGUACAAGUCGCGUGUGAAAGCCCCCGGCUCAACUGGGGAGGGUCACGCGAUACUGUUCGACUCGAAGGCAGGAGAGGGAAGCGGAAUUCCCGGUGUAGUGGUGAAAUGCGUAGAUAUCGGGAGGAACACCGGUGGCGAAGGCGGGACUCUGGGCCGAUACUGACGCUGAGGAGCGAAAGCGUGGGGAGCGAACAGG